ensembl:lncRNA
GUGCAUUCUUCGCGGGUGUUACAGGGGAAAAUUUGGCGAGCCAGCCAGGAGUCUUGGUUGCAACAAGAGUCUGUGAAAGAACCAGAGAAAAAUAAACCUGUGAGCCUCAGAAACUUAAUCUUUAAAAGCAAAAGAUGGAGAUAGUGAAACAGGAAAACGUUAAUGUAGAGAACGCACUUUUGAUUGAAGGCCUUACGUUAACUGAAGUUGACAAUGAAAUAGAAAAAUAUUUGCAAAGAUUUGGCUCAAUUAGCAAAAAUCUCAUAAUUGACGACCCAGAGUCUGAGUUCCAUAGAAAUGCUAUUGUUGAAUACAGCCACAACUCAGCGAUCCAGAAGUUACUUCCCCUUCUGCCCUUGACUCUAGGCAGUCUUUCUGACCCAGCUGUCACUUUCCGUGUCCGUACCCUUCCUUCUGCAUACACUAAGCCCACUAGUCGCACCGCCACAGAAGGGUAUCUUGAAGAAUUAAGAGCCAUUGCCAAAGAAAGUGGGAGGCCUUUUCAGAGUGUCCUACAGGAAGAAUUGGAGAAAAUCGCAGAUACUCAUUCUGUCAACCCUCCUCCUGCAACAGAUGCUCAAGAUAUUGAGAAUAAAAACCCAACCAAGAGUGAGAUUACCUUUGUGUCCCCACCUGUUUCGAGAGUCACUACGGAGGAUGUUAGUGUACCCACCAGUCUCACAUUUCCUGUAAAUAUCAUAGACCCACCCGGUGUCCAGAGGAUGGUCGUUGAGCACAUAGUGAAAAGCGACAAUACUUCACAGCAGACUUUGAUUCGUCUGAGGGCCUUCUCUGGGAAGUCCCCACGUCCCCCAAAUGAGCCGGAUUUCGACACUUGGCGUGCGAGUGUCGACUUCUUGUUGAAUGACCCUUCCAUUUCUGACUUGCAUAGAACCCGGAAAAUUCUGGAUAGUCUCUUACCUCCAGCAGCUGAUGUUGUGAAGCAUGUGCACCCUCCAGCCUUACCUGCUGCUUAUCUUGAGAUCUUGGAGUCUGUGUAUGGUUCUGUAGAGGAUGGUGAUGAGCUGCUGGCUAAAUUCAUGAGUACCUGUCAGAAUCAGAGUGAAAAGCCAUCAGGUUACUUGCACAGGCUGCAGGUCAUUUUGAGUACGACGAUCAGACGAAACGGAAUAAUGGAAACAGAGCGGGAUCGCUACUUGCUGAAACAGUUCUGCAGAGGGUGUUGGGACAAUAGCCUCAUCGCAGAUCUCCAGCUUGAAAAAAGAGAAGCGCAUCCACCUGCUUUUGCCGAGUUGGCAGUGCUUAUACGUACUCAAGAAGAUAAACAAGCUUCGAAGGAGGAACGUAUGAAGAAACAUCUUGGACUGUCAAAACCUUCAGCUGGUUUUCCAAAGCUUCGAGUACCUUCCAAUCAGAUGUUGGCUUGCCCUUGUGAUAUACCACAUUCUGAGAAUUCUGAAAUGAGUCUGUUAAGGAAGCAAGUAGUGGAAAUUCAGGCUCAAGUCACAGCCCUGAAACAGCCACCAGAUCAGAAGAACAAGAAAGGUUUCUCUGAGAAGGUUGAGCUAACUGCUCUGAAGGGGAUGGUGGAGGAGUUAAGCACCCAGGUUGCGGCAGUGAAGGAGUCAGUAGCCCAAAGUUCAAAAUCAAGCGAUUUGGAGGAAUCAGAGAUUCGUAAGCUGCGAAGUCAAGUGGCUGAACUGCAAGCUCAGAGUGCUAUUCGUCAGACACCUCAAGCAUUCUAUAUGCAGAGACCGCUUGAUACAGUGAGGAACAAUGACCCCAGGAAAAGCUCAUUGAGGACUGAUAGGCCUCGUGCUUGGUAUUGUUUUUCCUGUGGAGAAGAUGGACACCUGGCAGUUAAUUGCGAAAAUGCAGCGAACCCCGCUAAGGUGACGGAGAAAAGGGCUAAGCUGAGAGAGCAGCAGCGUGCUUGGGACUCUCAGUAUGGAAGGCCUACUCAGCCUUUAAACUAAAGAAGGUCUUUGUAGGAGGGCAUACGAAGACCAUACAUUCAGACUAUCGCCCUGAAUGUUUUGAACAGAACGUUGAUACAGAUAGACAUAACACACCGCCGUCAAACUGCUUGCCCAAAGGGUUAGUAGGAGUGAAGUGUACGGCAGAAGUUAUGAUUGGAGACAAAAAAGUGAACUGUCUGCUAGAUA